rnacentral:rRNA from 1 species
AAAGCGUGCGCAGGCGGUUUUGUAAGUCUGUCGUGAAAGCCCCGGGCUUAACCUGGGAAUUGCGAUGGAGACUGCAAGGCUCGAAUCUGGCAGAGGGGGGUAGAAUUCCACGUGUAGCAGUGAAAUGCGUAGAGAUGUGGAGGAACACCGAUGGCGAAGGCAGCCCCCUGGGUCAAGAUUGACGCUCAUGCACGAAAGCGUGGGGAGCAAACAGGAUUAGAUACCCUUGU